UGAACGCUGGCGGCGUGCCUACUACAUGCAAGUCGAGCGACCAGACGAGGAGCUUGCUCCUCUGACGUUAGCGGCGGACGGGUGAGUAACACGUGGAUAACCUACCUAUAAGACUGGGAUAACUUCGGGAAACCGGAGCUAAUACCGGAUAAUAUAUUGAACCGCAUGGUUCAAUAGUGAAAGACGGUUUUGCUGUCACUUAUAGAUGGAUCCGCGCCGCAUUAGCUAGUUGGUAAGGUAACGGCUUACCAAGGCAACGAUGCGUAGCCGACCUGAGAGGGUGAUCGGCCACACUGGAACUGAGACACGGUCCAGACUCCUACGGGAGGCAGCAGUAGGGAAUCUUCCGCAAUGGGCGAAAGCUUGACGGAGCAACGCCGCGUGAGUGAUGAAGGUCUUCGGAUCGUAAAACUCUGUUAUUAGGGAAGAACAAAUGUGUAAGUAACUAUGCACGUCUUGACGGUACCUAAUCAGAAAGCCACGGCUAACUACGUG
rnacentral:rRNA from 1 species